GGCGAAAUGGCCGAGUGGUUAAGGCGCCAGACUAAGGAAUGGCGAUUUCCAAGGAAAUGAGGACCAAGACAGUCUCUGUCUAAUUGGAUUAUCUGGUCCGAAAGGGCGUGGGUUCGAGUCCCACUUUCGUCA